UUGAAGAAGAAAAAGAAAUGCAGAGGACCAUAGAGUCAUAUAAUUGAUUUUGACUUUUCUAGUUUCAAUGUAUAAUAAUAUUAAGAACAUGUUCUGAUCUGUAUUUGCAAGUGAAUGUGAUUCCACUAAGAUUAUGAAUUAUAUACAGAGUAAGUAUAGUGAUGUGCAUAUUUGUGUCCUAUUUUUUAUACCUAAAGUAACUAAUUAAAAAUUAGUAGUAACAAAGGAGAGUUACCUGUAAGCACAUAUUAAAUUGGAAUUAAUUUAAGUGUUUGUGAUUAUGAAUUGAAUUGUUUGUGAUUGAAGUUUUCGAACAUGAUGUGAUGGCUAAAAUUGAUGUCUCAGCGUCUUCUUUUACUUGAUGUCUUGUUUCUCUGAUCAUCAUUUUUCUAUCAACUAAUUCUCCCAACUGGACGGCUUGAGCCCAGAGUCACCAUGCUUUCAGUUUCAGAAUCAGAGGGUAUAAGUGUAUGUACAACUGUACAUAGAUGAAUGUAUCGGGACAAAUGAUGAAUGCAUGCAGUGUAAAUAAAGAAUGAAUAAUUGGAAUUGGAAUUGGAAUUGGAAUAGUCGGCACAUAGCUAGUAGGCUCUGGAUUUUGGAGUCAGUCUCUACAUUUAAUUUGUUUGCUUCUUGACUGGUAUAGCGACUUGCCAUUCUCUUUCAAAAUUUGUCUCUUGUUGGAUCUUGUUAUUUUGUUAUCAUGAUAAUUAUAUUGAGAGAAUUAAGGCAUCUCAAGAUAUAUGUUUAAAGCUAUUUAAAAAAGAGGAACAAGGCAGGGAUGACGACACUCAACACAGAGGUAGACUGUAUGGGGCAGCAGCAGCAGAAUCGUGGUGCUGACUACUGUAGUAAUAGACUUGGCGAUGAUCUUCUGAAAUCCUCGCAGAGCAAGAACGGCGACAACGAUCUUCUACAAUCCUAUUCCUAGGAGAGCAAGAACAACAACCGCGAAGCGUAACCCAAAUGUGGACCCGAAGGAGGCAAAGGUGUUAUGUGGUGAUGAGUGAUGACAAAAGCAGGGGAGGAGGUGCUGAGUAUGCUACAGGGUGGAUAACAGAAAAGGGAAAGACUCCUCUUCAAAAGAACGUUUUAAAAGAAAAGGAAAAAAUUUUGGAAAAAUAAAAAUAUAAAAGGAUAAAUAUAUAAUUAUGAACGAAAAGGAUCAAUUUAUAAUUAUCUUUGUGAUGAUCUAUCUUACUAUUACAUAAAUGUGAAAGUGUAAAAUCUUUGGCCUUAAAAACAUAACUAUUUUAAUAAAUAACCUUUUAUCAUAAUUAUUUCAUCGCAUUAGGUAUAAAUUGUAACAGCAACCCAUGAUAUGCACAACUAAAGUUAUUUGAGACUCGAACAAAAAACUAGAAUCCUCUGCGCCUGAAUUAUCAAAACUAUAUUUCAAACAAACUAACUUUUACACUUUAAUACACAGAAAAAAAA